GCUGCGUUCUUCAUCGAUGCCAGAACCAAGAGAUCCGUUGUUGAAAGAAG
rnacentral:rRNA from 1 species